GACGAACGCUGGCGGCGUGCUUAACACAUGCAAGUCGAACGAAGUGGCGAACGGGUGAGUAACGCGUCAUCAACCUGCCCUUCAGAGGGGGACAACAGUUGGAAACGACUGCUAAUACCGCAUACUGAAGGAGGGGAUUGCGUCUGAUUAGCUAGUUGGAGGGGUCACGGCCCACCAAGGCUAGGAUCAGUAGCCGGUCUGAGAGGGUGAACGGCCACAUUGGGACGGAGAGACGGCUCAGACUCCUACGGGAGGCAGCAGUGGGGAAUCGUCCGCAAUGGACGAAAGUCUGACGGAGCAACGCCGCGUGAGUGAUGACGGCCUUCGGGUUGGAAAGCUCUGUUAAUCGGGACGCGGUACCGGAAUAUAAAGCCACGGCUAACUCCGUGCCAGCAGCCGCGGUAAUAC
rnacentral:rRNA from 1 species